rnacentral:tRNA from 1 species
UCCCUAGUGGCUCAGAUAGUAAAGAAUCCUCUUGCAAUGAGGGAGACCUGGGUUCAAUCCCUGGCUUGGGAA